rnacentral:rRNA from 1 species
AAUAUUAGUCAAUGCUCGAAAGAGUGAACUAGCUAACUGAAAUCAAUUAAAAAAAUUGAUAACAUAAGGGAAAAUAAUGAUAUUACCUUAUUAUUAGUGUCGUCCAAAACUGGUGCCAGAAGACUCGGUAAGGCCAGAGACACAAACGUUAAUCGUCUUAAUCAGGCGUAAAGGGUUUGUAGGCGGCUUUUAAUUUACUUAUAAAUCUUAUAAAAUAAGUUAAGAAUAAAAGCUAGAAUCAAAUAGAGGAUAUAUCAAAUAAUGCUUAGAGUAGGUCUGAUAUCCUUAGAUACUAAGUAGAAUAUUAAAGGCGAAAGCUUUUUUCCAUAAAUGAUUGACGCUCAGAAACGAAGGUGAGGAUAGGAAAUAGGAUUAGAUACCCAAAAUACCCCUCUCUGUCAACGAUGAAUGGUAGUUAUUAAUAAUAAAUUUAUUAUUAAUGGCAAUGUUAACACGAUAACCAUUCCGCCUUGUGAGUACAACUGCAAAGUUGAAAACAAAAAAAUUAGUCGGUUUCGGAGCAAACGAAGUGAAGCAUGUUAUUUAAUUCGAUAAUCCG